rnacentral:rRNA from 1 species
GCACAAGCGGUGGAGCAUGUGGUUUAAUUCGAAGCAACGCGAAGAACCUUACCAAAUCUUGACAUCCUUUGACAACUCUAGAGAUAGAGCUUCCCUUCGGGGACAAAGUGACAGGUGGUGCAUGGUUGUCGUCAGCUCGUGUCGUGAGAUGUUGGGUUAAGUCCCGCAACGAGCGCAACCCUUAUCUUUAGUUGCCAUCAUUAGGUUGGGCACUCUAGAGAGACUGCCGGUGACAAACCGGAGGAAGGUGGGAUGACGUCAAAUCAUCAUGCCCCUUAUGAUUUGGGCUACACACGUGCUACAAUGGAUGGUACAAAGGGCAGCAAAACCGCGAGGUCAAGCAAAUCCCAUAAAACCAUUCUCAGUUCGGAUUGUAGUCUGCAACUCGACUACAUGAAGCUGGAAUCGCUAGUAAUCGUAGAUCAGCAUGCUACGGUGAAUACGUUCCCGGGUCUU